GGAGGAAAAGAAACCAACUGGGAUUACCUUAGUAACGGCGAGUGAAGCGGUAAAAGCUCAAAUUUGAAAUCUGGUACUUUCAGUGCCCGAGUUGUAAUUUGUAGAAUUUGUCUUUGAAUUGGUCCUUGUCUAUGUUCCUUGGAACAGGACGUCAUAGAGGGUGAGAAUCCCGUUUGGCGAGGAUACCUUUUCUCUGUAAGACUUUUUCGAAGAGUCGAGUUGUUUGGGAAUGCAGCUCAAAGUGGGUGGUAAAUUCCAUCUAAAGCUAAAUAUUGGCGAGAGACCGAUAGCGAACAAGUACAGUGAUGGAAAGAUGAAAAGAACUUUGAAAAGAGAGUGAAAAAGUACGUGAAAUUGUUGAAAGGGAAGGGCAUUUGAUCAGACAUGGUGUUUUUUGCAUGCACUCGCCUCUCGUGGGCUUGGGCCUCUCAAAAAUUUCACUGGGCCAACAUCAGUUUUGGCAGCAGGAAAAAUCAUUAGGAAUGUGGCUUCUCCGGAAGUGUUAUAGCCUAUUGGAAUACUGCUAGCCGGGAUUGAGGACUGCGCUUUUGCAAGGAUGUUGGCAUAAUGGUUAAAUGCCGCCCGUCUUGA
rnacentral:rRNA from 1 species